rnacentral:rRNA from 1 species
GGCCUAACACAUGCAAGUCGAGCGGUAGCACAGAGAGCUUGCUCUCGGGUGACGAGCGGCGGACGGGUGAGUAAUGUCUGGGAAACUGCCUGAUGGAGGGGGAUAACUACUGGAAACGGUAGCUAAUACCGCAUAACGUCGCAAGACCAAAGUGGGGGACCUUCGGGCCUCAUGCCAUCAGAUGUGCCCAGAUGGGAUUAGCUAGUAGGUGGGGUAAUGGCUCACCUAGGCGACGAUCCCUAGCUGGUCUGAGAGGAUGACCAGCCACACUGGAACUGAGACACGGUCCAGACUCCUACGGGAGGCAGCAGUGGGGAAUAUUGCACAAUGGGCGCAAGCCUGAUGCAGCCAUGCCGCGUGUAUGAAGAAGGCCUUCGGGUUGUAAAGUACUUUCAGCGAGGAGGAAGGCAUUAAGGUUAAUAACCUUAGUGAUUGACGUUACUCGCAGAAGAAGCACCGGCUAACUCCGUGCCAGCAGCCGCGGUAAUACGGAGGGUGCAAGCGUUAAUCGGAAUUACUGGGCGUAAAGCGCACGCAGGCGGUCUGUUAAGUCAGAUGUGAAAUCCCCGGGCUCAACCUGGGAACUGCAUUUGAAA